CCUGCCGGGCGCGCUUUGUCCCACCGUGAGCGCGGGUUUUCCGCGGCGUGGGGCAGGGAGCGCCCGGCACCCCCGCCCCGGUUGCCGCGGAGGUUUCGGCCGGUUGCUGCCGGCGGAGCGGCGAAGCUUCCCGUAGGAAAAGAGCCUCGGGCUCGCAGGCGGCAGGGGAAUAAACUGAGGAGAAGGAAUAACGUCCUGCGGAGGGACGGACGGCAGCGGAGCGCUGCAGGGCGCUCGGCGGCAGAGACACCAGGAAGGAUUAAUGCUGCAAGAGACCUGAGUGACUUCUCAGCCUCCACAGAUGACCAUUAUACUGAUAGUUCCUGAACCAGUUUGAGGCCCCUACUUCGGAUCAACUCAUUAUCCCGAAUAAACGAUGUGUCAUUCCCAUUAUUUAUGUUUCACUGCAGCCAAAGUAUCUGGACCUCGUUUUGAUGUGCUGCUUUUUGGAGUUAAUAACACCACAAAGAAAGAGCUGGAGUUGCUGGAUACCUAAUGCUACUUCCUUUGGGGUUUCCUCACCCAUGAAAUACAGGUCAUAGACAGUCGCAGACAAUAAAGGAAAGGAAAACGUAAAUAACCUUGACUGGUUCCAAAGGAAACCUUCAAAUAAACCAGGAUCGUUGCAACACUGUCUGUUGAAAUACACCCAGGCUCCUAAUUGCCGUGAGGAACCAAACUCCUUCAUGCAGUCAAGGCUGUUAUCACUCCCACCAUGGCUCCAGCCCUUCUCCUUGGUCCUUGGGGCCCUAGCUCCUCUCUGCUUUCCUUGCUGCUUCCAGGCUGCCUUGCUCUGGGCUGUGCCAGUACUGGAUUAGGCUGAAUACAAGUCCCACAUUCUUUAUUACGGAGUCAGCAUUUCUUCCUCGUUCUUUGCCUGGCUGCUGCCCAGCAGGUUAUUUUGGGACCUACGCUAGCUGCCCCAGAGCACAGCCAUGCCAGGGAGGGUACUAACAGCUAAAGGCUGCCAAGGAUUGUUUGGCAGUGCCCGAGCCUGAAACGAGGUCCUGUUUUAUUUAGGACAUAGACAUAGUAUAAAUGUCCCCGAGGAGAAGAGCGGUAGGAGGGUAAGGUUUGUAAGUGUCCAGCACCAAAGCGCUGGCUGGGGGAAGGGGAGGCAUGGCUGGGCAGCAGCCCCUUGCAGCACUGCAAAUCCACAGGCUGGGGGUGGGAGGGACAGUGCUGUGAGAAGGAUUAAGUCCUCUGCACGUUUUCCUCCCCUUCCUCCACAGACUGGCUCUCAUCACUGCUUUCCCAAGCCAGGAUGGUGCCUCUGCUCUUGGGACGUGUGGUCCCCACACCUCCCCCUGAGUCAAGGCAAGAAGCAGCAGAACUGCAGCAGCACUGCAGGAUUGUCCUGUGGUCUUCGUGGGUUGGGACUAGGAGGCAUUGUGAGACAGGCGUCUCUCCUCACGCCAUUCCUCCCUGUCCCAAGACAACAAGCAUUGUAAGACCAUGGUGUGGAGACUAAGAUGUGAGUCAGGCAGCGAGUGGCAAGAGGGUGCAGAAGAAGGGGGCAGGAGGAGGGGAAGGAGAUGGGAUGGAAGAUGUGGGAUUGGAAACAGCAUGUGUGAAAUGGUUGGGAAAGGCUGAUUUGACUGAGCUUUCUGGGUAAGGGUUAAUCCUCCAGUUCUCUGAGCUGGUAAAGAAUACUGAUGUAUAGGUAUAAAGUGUGACUCCAUGACCAGGUACAGGCCCCGCAGCAUCUUAGUUAGGUGUCCUGCCUAUUCAUUUUAUUUGGAACCAGAAAUAUUUUUACCUUCUCUUGUGCACCUACUCUCCUUGUAAAACGUUGUGUCGUACUUCAGUGGCCCUUCUGCCUGUGGAGCCAGAUAGCCACCAAUGACUCGUAUCUCCUCUUCUGGGAUCCCAGCUUGGAAUAGCUUAUAUAGGCCUGAAUUUCUGCUCUGGAGCACAGUCCUUUAAAAAUCUCUUGAGCUGGGCAACUUUCAAUACUUGCGAUCAGGGACACAUGAUACCAUCGCACCUUCUCAGCCCUGCUGCGAUGGUGCAGGUCUUGGAAGAAGCCUGAGUGCCCUUAGAGCAGCCAGUGAGCAGAUGCAGUGGGGUUGCUGUGGUAGCUGAGCUGCCUUAUUUGAAGCCAGGGUAAAUCUGCAGGAGCCAGGGUAGCUACCCUCACAACCUGCAGCUGGGAGGACAUAGCAGCAGCUACAGGGCCAAUGUCCUGCCUCCGGCAGACGGCAACCGUGGAUGCCUGGAGAGCAUUAUUAAAUGCUGUGGCAGAUUCAUGACAUGUUGCUAGCUUAUUUCUUAACCUUUUACUUUCUAUUACAGUGCUUUUGUGAAAAAAAGAAAAAAGGUUAUUGUUAUACUUGAAUUUAUCAUGCUGUUGGAGAGCACUGGGCGUGAGUCAGCUUGAGGCAGUAAGAUGAACAAGAUGAGCUCUUGAAGUACCUUUCCAGACCUAUUUCUACAAGUCUAUGAGCAGAACAAAAUGAACUCAAGAUGUUUUCCCAGAAGAGAGCAAAUAAAGGAACCAUUUCUUUGAAUUCUGCACAGAUUGAAUAUAAAUAAAAUGAAUCCCACAUCUGGUCCAUUCUUUUUCAUUUCUUUAAAAAACAAAUACAAUAACGCCAUACACACACACAAAAACCAAGCAGGGAAGAUCAAGUCAAGGGUGCCUCAGGUUUUA